rnacentral:misc_RNA from 1 species
GGGGACUACUGGGGUUUCUAAUCCCGUUCGCUCCCCAUGCUUUCGCACUCCAGCGUCGGUAGGGACCCAGAGAGCUGCCUUCGCUUUUGGCGUUCCUUCGUAGAUCUGCGGAUUUCACCCCUACACACGAAAUUCCACUCUCCUCUGUCUCACUCAAGUGAAUUGGUUUCGAGAGCAUUCCACCAGUUUUUGGCGACUUUCACUUUCAACCCGAUUCACCGCCUACGUGCCCUUUACGCCCAGUCAUUCCGAAGAACACUUGCCCCCCCCCGUCUUACCGCGGCUGCUGGCACGAAGUUAGCCGGUGCUUAUUCUUUGGGUACCGUCAUCCCAACCGGGUAUUAACCAGCUGGAUUUCUUUCCCAACAAAAGGGCUUUACAACCCGAAGGCCUUCUUCAC